rnacentral:lncRNA from 1 species
CCAAAAGGGGGGACACAUUGCAGGAGUAAAUGUUAUUUCAUAUAUAUUUGUGAGCAUGUAUUGGGUCACACCUGAAAUGCGUUUCUUACUGCAGAUUGGAGCACACAAUGUGAAUCACUGUCCUAGGUGUUGAAUGUCAGACAACCACAAAGGUGUUUAACUAUUCCUGGCGUGAAUAAGGGGUACCCUGGGUGCUAUAAUAAUCAUUGUCAUUCCACUCUCUGCCUCACUCUGUGUUACGUUUUUUUUGGAAAGGAUUUUUCUUGAAGGAACUCUGAGCCUUCAAAAUGUUUAUUGAAACAUCACUCAGAAAAUUUCCCCUGUUGAUCAGACUUUCACGUCCUUUCUGAGAAGAAGACCUCGGAUGCACUCUCUGGGCCUCACCUGGGGAAAGGUGCCACCAGGUGGGCAAUGUGCCAAACACCAAGAGACACUUCCACCCAUGGCCACUAGGUGGGGACACGCGGCUGUGAUCACGGAGUGACCCUGUUAGAGCUAAUGGGGUGAUCUACCAGGCUCAAAGAAUGUGGUUCACUUUGAUCACUUCCCGUACUUCUGGCAGCAACCCCAGGUCAUGUGCUCCUGUCAGCCCCAUUCUGUGGCUGGGAGUAAAGAAGCUGUGAGGUGUUCUAGAACCUGUCCAGUGAAGUGUGGCUGUUGAGUGUGGGAUGAGCGUGUCAUUCCUGCCGGGGACUCCAGGCCUGGCCAAGCCAGAACAGCUCCGGCCUCUAGAUGUGGCUCCAGGACAAUCAACCCUAGGGGAGAGCAGCUGAGGCCACACUCGUCAAAGUCCUUCAGGUGCCUCUGUGAGUGCUGCUUCCUUUCCACCCACUCCUUUCCCUGCUGUGUUUGUAUUAUUCUCUUCUUUCCCUUCACUGAUCACAACCAGGAACAGGAGCCAGAGGAGUGCCCUUCCAACGGAAACUGAGCUCUUCCCAGGUGACAGGAAUAUCAAAGCACCAGGCUGGAUGAAAAUCCUUCUAAAUUACUGAAACUUUGGUCUACUUAAAAUGGAGCUUGCUAAAUGUAGUUUACCUUGUUGUUGUUGAUUAUUCCGGAGCAUCAUCAUGAACAUUGGGUACUGAGUUACCUGGUAAUAAGUCUGAUGUUUAGAUUUUCUACUUCUUUUGACAUCAGAUUGUCAUUUCUCCUUUUGUCAUUUAC